AUUGAACGCUGGCGGCAGGCUUAACACAUGCAAGUCGAACGAGUGGCGGACGGGUGAGCAAUGCGUGGGAAUCUGGCUUAUGGAGGGGGAUAACGACGGGAAACUGUUGCUAAUACCGCGUACCAUAGGCUGUGCCCCAGUGGGAUUAGUGAGUUGGUGGGGUAAUGGCCUACCCAGCCGACGAUCUCUAGCUGGUCUGAGAGGAUUACCAGCCACACCGGGACUGAGACCGGGCCCGUACUCCUACGGUAGGCAGCAGUGGGGAAUAUUGCGCAAUGGGGGCAACCUGACGCAGCCAUGCCGCGUGAAUGAAGAAGGCCUUCGGGUUGUAAAGUUCUUUCGGUGACGAGGCGUUAAUCACAGAAGAAGCACCGGCUAACUCCGUGCCAGCCGCCGCGGUAAUUC
rnacentral:rRNA from 1 species